rnacentral:lncRNA from 1 species
CCCCUAAACAAAUAUAUACUAGUCCAGUGAUAAUGAACGCCAUACUAAUUUCCAAAUUGUACACAAGAAACUAAAAUUAAAAUAAUACAAGACUAACAAAGGCCAGAGGCUCCUGACUUGGGACAGGCUCAAAAACGCGGCGGGGUUAAACAUGUUUGUGAGAUCUCAACCCUCCCCCUAUACCUCUAACCAAUGUAGAAAAGUAAACGCAUAACAAUACGCACAUUAAAAUUCAGUUCAAGAGAAGUCCGAGUCUGAUGUCAGAAGAUGUAACCAAAGAAAAUAAACAAAAUGACAAUAAUACAUAAAUAACAACAGACUACUAGCAGUUAACUGACAUACCAGCUCCAGACUUCAAUUAAACUGACUGA